rnacentral:rRNA from 1 species
GACGAACGCUAGCGAUAGGCUUAACACAUGCAAGUCGAGGGGCAGCAUGGUCUUAGCUUGCUAAGCCUGAUGGCGACCGGCGCACGGGUGCGUAACGCGUAUGCACCUUGACUCUCAGAGGGGGAUAACCAGUCGAAAGACGGACUAAUACCGCGUACAUUCUAUCUUGGGCAUCCUAGGAAGAGGCAAUGAAUUUCGCUGUGCGAUAGGCAUGCUUGCCAUUAGCUAGUUGGUGAGGUGACGGCUCACUUAGGCGACGAUGGGUAAGGGAACUACGAGGAUCAGCCCCGAGAGUGGGACUGGGACCCGUAGCAGACUCAUACGGGAGGCAGCAGUGCGGAAUGCUGCACAGUGGACGAGAGCCUGAUCCGGCGAAGUCGCAUGAAGCAAGGCUGUCUUAGGGAUUGUAAACUUCUGUUAGACGGGAACUACAGGAGGCACGGGAGACUGCCUGCAGGUACCGUAUGAAUAAGCAUCGGCUAACUCCGUG